UUUCGCAAUGCCCGAAAGGGUGGCGAAGCGACGCCGCGUGGGUGAAGAAGGCCUUCGGGUUGUAAAGCCCUGUCAGGAGUUAUGAAAUGUAAGUGUGCUAAUAUCACAUUUAUUUGACAAAGGCUCCAAAGGAAGCCACGGCUAACUCUGUGCCAGCAGCCGCGGUAAUACAGAGGUGGCAAGCGUUGUUCGGAAUUAUUGGGCGUAAAGAGCACGUAGGUGGAUUUGUAAGUCAGAUGUGAAAGCCUUCUGUUCAACGGAAGAAUUGCAUCUGAAACCGCGAAUCUUGAGUGUAGGAGGGGAGAAUGGAACUUCUGGUGGAGCGGUGAAAUGCGUAGAUAUCAGAAGGAACGCCGGCGGCGAAAGCGAUUCUCUGGCCUAUUACUGACACUCAGUGUGCGAAAGCUAGGGGAGCAAACGGGAUUAGAUACCCCGGUAGUCCUAGCCGUAAACGAUGGGCACUAAGUAGAGGGGUUUU
rnacentral:rRNA from 1 species